UGCCAAGUAAGAGCAUUAUUAUAUUUUAUGCAAGAAACUGAGUGAUUAGUUUGGCUGGAAAGUUGAGCUUGAAUGAGCACCAUAUGGAAUUGAAAACCAUCGAGUAUAUGGAUUACAAGACAUGUACUAGGGGUGGGAAAAAAUAAUGACUUAUAACUGCAAGAAUGAGAUUGUUGUGUUGCCUUGUGGCCUUCAUGUUUAAGGCUGAUUCAUAUAUUAUAUAUAUGCAGGUUAUCAUGGGUCAAGCUGUUGUGCAAAGGUGCAAUGCAAAUGUCAAUUUCCAUGAUGAAGAGAAACCUUUAUAUCCUCCAACAGGAAGCAGAGGUGCACCAUUACUUUCACCCUACCUCGUAAUCAAUAAAGAUGGACUUCCCUAUGGGGCUGCACUUCAUGCAUCAUUGGCCACUAGUUAUCUUACAAAUUAUCAGCAGGACAUAGCCAGGUGUAGCAAUUCUAUGCAGUUUUCUCCUUCUUUUUCAUCCUUAGGAGUCCGGAUUUAUAAUUAGUGUUUGUAAAGGUGGAUGACAAGUACCCAUAUUCAUGUCACAACAAAGAUAGCCAAGUUCAUGGAUGGGAAGACGCUAAACUGCA